GCUGGCUGAUGAAACUAAGGCGAAUGCGACUCUGCCUGCUGACCCUUGGCUUCUGGGGGAGGGGGUAGGUGGGAUCUGAAAUCUUGGUGGGGGUGCCUAAGGACUGGCUUCCUGCUGUAAGGCCAGAUCAAUAGCACUGCUGGCCUUGCCUUCAUGUCUGCUGUCACCACAGUUCCUGACAGCACCCUAUAGGGAGGCCCACAGGGGGUGGCCAAAGUGUGGUUAGGCAUGAGCUAUGUGAGCACAACCUUGCAUCUGACAGCC
ensembl:snoRNA